UUCAAUGAUUACGUAUUUUUUAUUUAUAAAAUAUCAAACUGAGAGAAAUGUGCAAAAAAUGAUGAAAGAUAUUGAUUUGUGAUCUAUAUUUCGUUCGGGUUUAUGUAUAAUUAAUUUUAUUUUAGCAGCGCCACGUGUUUCUCGUUCCCGACAAACCACUGUUGGAGCGACACGUAACUCAAUCUUUGAACAUAUACAAGCGCAGACGUGUUCUGUUUUCCUUAUUUGUCUCCCUCUUUGAACCUAUGCGGUCAAAGCGACCAGAGUCGGGCCUAUUGAUUCGGCCCGAACUCCAUUUAAUUAGAGCCACGCGCCAAGGCCGAAGCGUUCGCCAAAUACCCUCUCCCCGCUCAAACCUUGGAAGGUCCAAACGUCUCAACAACCGAAAUGAUAUCCUCACGUGCCUGUGCAGUCUCAAAGACGCACAACCAAUUAAACCUCCACUUGGGAGACAGGAAGGCACCAGGGCGUCAAAUAGUAUACCAGAAUAACCGUCUCGGUCGAACGCGCCAAAGGCAUUGAAUCCCAACACAGUUCUCAAACAGCUAGGAAGUGCCACGUGGCAAUCACAAAGACAAUGAUUGUGUCAUCCGGGUUUUUUUUUUUUUUUUGUUAAGGGAAGCCAUUAAAAUACAGAGCACGAACUCAGGAGUUUUCGCAGAGGAGAGAAUAAAAUAUAAAAGAAAGACAGAGAACGAAAGCAAAAGAAGAAUUAGAAAGAAAAGGAGAAAGUAGAGAACGAGAGAAGGUUAUUUAGAAUCUUCUCUCUUUUUUUCACUUUUUUUCCUUCUUUUAGUUUCACCCUUUCUCUCAUCCGCUCUCCUCUCAACGAGAAGAAGGAAAUUUUCAGCAGGUAGAAAAAUGAAUUUUGUUGAUAAAAUGUCGAACGGAAUGCGUAGAGUUUGGACCGGUCUCGCCACACGCCUCGGGGUUCGUAAAAGCGGUAAGUCUCAACUCUCAACCGUCUUAAUUCUAACUCGUCGCCAAUUUGAUGAUUUUAGCAAGGCUGAGAUCAAGAAAGGUCUCCUUUUCUCUUUAGUUUUUCUUUUUUUUGAAAGUUUUCUCCUAUAACUGAAAUGUUGAUGACAAUGACCCGUACUUCCUUUAAAAUGAUUGAAGUGAUUAUACUCAAUUAGCCAUAUUUGUUGGGGGAAGGAACAGGGCUGUUGAAGCUGCAAAAGGAAGUAAGCUCGUGUGAAUACGGGGAUGUGCAUGUGAUGUGGGAGUUGCUGAGGAGAUCCGAAAUAGAAAUGGGUGAAUCCCCCAAAAGAUGCAAAAAGCGACGAUUGAGAAAAUGCUUUCAAUGGAGAAGGUCUCCUUUUCAUCGUCGCUGCUUCUCAUGAGCAUGGGCAUUACUUUUCCUUUCAGGGUUUCAGUCAAUUCUUUAUUAUUAUUUCAUCCCCUCUCUCUGUGUGUAUAUCCCUGGUUAGAAAGGGUUUUUUCCCCAUCGUAUCGGUCCAAACAAGAGAGGAAAUAAGGAGGGAUUGGUUUUAUAAGAUUGCUCCUAUUCCCUCUUUUUCUAUAUACCAACUAUUUGUAUAUAUCAGCUGCCUGCCAAGUGAUUGCGUUCUCUAUCUCGUACAUUGUCAUAAACUAUAUAUAUACUUCGGUAUAUGUGUUUUCUGAUGUCCUUUAAAACAUGCUGCCAGUGCCAUGUUUUACGUAUUUGAUGUUUUCACGAAAAUUUGCAGAGGAAAAAAACAUGGUUCAUCUA